rnacentral:rRNA from 1 species
UGGCUCAGAGCGAACGCUGGCGGCAGGCCUAACACAUGCAAGUCGAACGAACUCUUCGGAGUUAGUGGCGGACGGGUGAGUAACACGUGGGAACGUGCCUUUAGGUUCGGAAUAACUCAGGGAAACUUGUGCUAAUACCGAAUGUGCCCUUCGGGGGAAAGAUUUAUCGCCUUUAGAGCGGCCCGCGUCUGAUUAGCUAGUUGGUGAGGUAAAGGCUCACCAAGGCGACGAUCAGUAGCUGGUCUGAGAGGAUGAUCAGCCACAUUGGGACUGAGACACGGCCCAAACUCCUACGGGAGGCAGCAGUGGGGAAUCUUGCGCAAUGGGCGAAAGCCUGACGCAGCCAUGCCGCGUGAAUGAUGAAGGUCUUAGGAUUGUAAAAUUCUUUCAGUAGGGACGAUAAUGACGGUA